GUGGGGAAUAUUGGACAAUGGGGGGAACCCUGAUCCAGCCAUGCCGCGUGGAGGAAGACUGCCCUCUGGGUUGUAAACUCCUUUUAUAUGGGAAGAACCGUCCUCAUUAAUGAGUGACCUGACGGUACCAUAGGAAUAAGCACCGGCUAACUCCGUGCCAGCAGCCGCGGUAAUACGGAGGGUGCAAGCGUUAUCCGGAUUCACUGGGUUUAAAGGGUGCGUAGGCGGAUAAAUAAGUCAGUGGUGAAAUCAACGGGCUCAACCUGUUAACUGCCAUUGAUACUGUGUAUCUUGAAUAUGAGAGAGGUAGGCGGAAUGUUGCAUGUAGCGGUGAAAUGCUUAGAUAUGCUACGGAACACCGAUUGCGAAGGCAGCUUACUAUUUCGUAAUUGACGCUGAGGCACGAAAGCGUGGGUAGCGAACAGGAUUAGAAACCCCAGUAGUCC
rnacentral:rRNA from 1 species